UGGGGAAUUUUGCGCAAUGGGCUAACGCCUGACGCAGCAACGCCGCGUGGAGGAUGAAGGUCCUUGGAUCGUAAACUCCUGUCAGCAGGGAAAAAGGGAUUGGGCCUAAUACGUCCGAAACUUGAUUGUACCUGCAGAGGAAGCCCCGGCUAACUCUGUGCCAGCAGCCGCGGUAAUACAGAGGGGGCGAGCGUUAUUCGGAAUUAUUGGGCGUAAAGGGCGCGUAGGCGGCCGUUCAAGUGAUGGGUGAAAGCCCUCGGCUUAACCGAGGAACUGCCUGUCAGACUGGAUGGCUUGAGACCGGGAGAGGUGAGUGGAAUUCCCAGUGUAGCGGUGAAAUGCGUAGAUAUUGGGAGGAACACCAGUGGCGAAGGCGGCUCACUGGACCGGAACUGACGCUGAGGCGCGAAAGCGUGGGGAGCAAACAGG
rnacentral:rRNA from 1 species